rnacentral:misc_RNA from 1 species
GAUGAAGAACGCAGCGAAAUGCGAUAAGUAAUGUGAAUUGCAGAAUUCAGUGAAUCAUCGAAUCUUUGAACGCAUCUUGCGCUCCUUGGUAUUCUGAGGAGCAUGUCUGUUUGAGUGUCAUUAAAUUCUCAACUACACUGACUUUGAAUUGGUGUGGCUUGGAUUUGGGGGGAAAAUUGUUGUGGGCUUUUUGUAUAGUCUGCUCCCCUGAAAUUGAUUAGCGGUACCUUUGUGGAACUGUCUACAGGUGUGAUAAUUAUCUACAUCUUAGACAUCUGCUGGAAUGCUGCUUUCUAAACCUUACUUGUAUUGACAAUCUUGACCUCAAAUCAGGUAGGACUACCCGCUGAACUUAAGCAUAUCAAUAAGCGGAGGA